CUGGCGGCGUGCUUAACACAUGCAAGUCGAACGGGAGUAUUGAAGAAGCGUUGCUUUAGAGAUACUUUAGUGGCGGACGGGUGAGUAACGCGUGAGGAGCUGUCCUAUGCAGGGGGACAACAGCUGGAAACGGCUGCUAAUACCCCAUAAGCCGAGAGGUAAAAGGAUCAAUCCGGCAGAGGAGGUACUCGCGUCCUAUCAGCUAGUAGGUGAGGUAACGGCUCACCUAGGCGAAGACGGGUAGCCGGCCUGAGAGGGCGAACGGCCACACUGGAACUGAGAUACGGUCCAGACUCCUACGGGAGGCAGCAGUGGGGAAUAUUGGGCAAUGGGGGGAAAAACCCCCUGACCCAGCGACGCCGCGUGGGUGAAGAAAUCCUUCGGGAUGUAAAGCCCUGUUGUAUGGGAAGAGCGGAAGACGGUACCAUACGAGGAAGCCCCGGCAAACUACGUGCCAGCAGCGGC
rnacentral:rRNA from 1 species